rnacentral:rRNA from 1 species
AUACGUAGGUGGCAAGCGUUAUCCGGAAUCAUUGGGCGUAAAGGGUGCGUAGGCGGCUUCUUAAGUUUGUAGUGAAAUCGUAGGGCUCAACUCUAUCUAGCUACAAAAACUGGGAGGCUGGAGUGCGGUAGAGGCUAGUGGAAUUCCUAGUGUAGCGGUAAAAUGCGUAGAUAUUAGGAGGAACACCGGUGGCGAAGGCGACUAGCUGGGCCGUAACUGACGCUGAGGCACGAAAGCGUGGGGAGCAAAUAGGAUUAGAUACCCUAGUAGUCCACGCCGUAAACGAUGAAUACUAGGUGUAGGGGGUAUCGACUCCCUCUGUGCCGCAGCUAACGCAUUAAGUAUUCCACCUGGGGAGUACGGCCGCAAGGUUAAAACUCAAAGGAAUUGACGGGG